rnacentral:misc_RNA from 1 species
GUGAAUCAUCAAAUUUUUGAACGCAAAUUGCACUCUUUGGUAUUCCGGAGAGUAUGCCUGUUUGAGGGUCAGUUUAAAUAUAAAUCGUUGUGGUUGCUGCCUUUCGUGUUGACGCACCGCAUUUGGGUCGUCUUGCCUUCGGUUAAGUGUCCUAAAAUUUUGCAUGAUCUUUACGAACGUAUUUAAAUGAUU